rnacentral:rRNA from 1 species
UACGGAGGGCGCAAGCGUUGUUCGGAAUCACUGGGCGUAAAGCGCGUGCAGGCGGCUUGGUAAGUCGGGUGUGAAAUCCCGGAGCUCAACUCCGGAACUGCACCCGAUACUGCCUCGCUAGAGUCCCGGAGAGGAUGGCGGAAUUUCCGGUGUAGAGGUGAAAUUCGUAGAUAUCGGAAGGAACACCAGCGGCGAAGGCGGCCAUCUGGACGGUGACUGACGCUCAGACGCGAAAGCGCGGGGAGCAAAC